GAUGAACGCUAGCGGCAGGCCUAAUACAUGCAAGUCGAACGGUAGAUCGGGUAGCAAUACUUGAUUGAGAGUGACGUAAGGGUGCGUAACACGUAUGCAAUCUACCCUCAACAGGAGUAUAGCACGGGGAAACUCGGAUUAACACUCCAUAACAUUACGAUGUGGCAUCACAUUGUGAUUAAAACUCCGGUGGUUGAGGAUGAGCAUGCGUCUGAUUAGUUAGUUGGAGGUGUAACGGACCCCCAAGACGAUGAUCAGUAGGGGAACUGAGAGGUUGAUCCUCCACACUGGCACUGAGAUACGGGCCAGACUCCUACGGGAGGCAGCAGUAGGGAAUAUUGGUCAAUGGGUGAGAGCCUGAACCAGCCAUGCCGCGUGCAGGAAGACGGCCUUCUGGGUUGUAAACUGCUUUUAUCUGGGGAUAAAAAGCCCAUGCGUGGGACAUUGAAGGUACCAGAUGAAUAAGCACCGGCUAACUACGUG
rnacentral:rRNA from 1 species